rnacentral:rRNA from 1 species
GACGAACGCUGGCGGCGUGCCUAACACAUGCAAGUCGAGCGAAUGAAGUUCCUUCGGGAACGGAUUUAGCGGCGGACGGGUGAGUAACACGUGGGCAACCUGCCUCAUAGAGGGGAAUAGCCUUCCGAAAGGGAGAUUAAUACCGCAUAAGAUUGUAGUACCGCAUGGUACAGCAAUUAAAGGAGCAAUCCGCUAUGAGAUGGGCCCGCGGCGCAUUAGCUAGUUGGUGAGGUAACGGCUCACCAAGGCGACGAUGCGUAGCCGACCUGAGAGGGUGAUCGGCCACAUUGGGACUGAGACACGGCCCAGACUCCUACGGGAGGCAGCAGUGGGGAAUAUUGCACAAUGGGGGAAACCCUGAUGCAGCAACGCCGCGUGAGUGAUGACGGCCUUCGGGUUGUAAAGCUCUGUCUUCAGGGACGAUAAUGACGGUACCUGAGGAGGAAGCCACGGCUAACUACGUGCCAGCCGCCGCCGUAA